ACGGUAGCGGGAAGAAGCUUGCUUCUUUGCCGACGAAUGGCGGACGGGUGAGUAAUGUCUGGGGAUCUGCCCGAUGGAGGGGGAUAACCACUGGAAACGGUGGCUAAUACCGCAUAACGUCGCAAGACCAAAGUGGGGGACCUUCGGGCCUCACACCAUCGGAUGAACCCAGAUGGGAUUAGCUAGUAGGUGGGGUAACGGCUCACCUAGGCGACGAUCCCUAGCUGGUCUGAGAGGAUGACCAGCCACAUUGGAACUGAGACACGGUCCAGACUCCUACGGGAGGCAGCAGUGGGGAAUAUUGCACAAUGGGCGCAAGCCUGAUGCAGCCAUGCCGCGUGUAUGAAGAAGGCCUUCGGGUUGUAAAGUACUUUCAGCGGGGAGGAAGGGAUGAGCUUUAAUACGGCUCGUCAUUGACGUUACCCGCAGAAGAAGCACCGGCUAACUCCGUGCCAGCAGCCGCGGUAAUACGGAGGGUGCAAGCGUUAAUCGGAAUUACUGGGCGUAAAGCGCACGCAGGCGGUCUGUCAAGUCGGAUGUGAAAUCCCCGGGCUCAACCCGGGAACUGCAUUCGAAACUGGCAGGCUAGAGUCUUGUAGAGGGGGGGUAGAAUUCCAGGUGUAGCGGUGAAAUGCGUAGAGAUCUGGAGGAAUACCGGGUGGCGAAGGCGGCCCCCUGGACAAAGACUGACGCUCAGUGCGAAAGCGUGGGGAGCAAACAGGAUUAGAUA
rnacentral:rRNA from 1 species